rnacentral:lncRNA from 1 species
CACAAAUAGCAAAUGGCCAACAAGCUCUUUCUCGUCUCGGCGACUCUCGCCCUCUUCUUCCUUCUCACCAAUGCCUCCAUCUACCGAACGGUCGUAGAAGUCGAGGAAGAUGAUGCCACAAACCCAGCCGGUCCAUUUAGGAUUCCGAAAUGUAGGAAGGAGUUUCAGCAAGCACAACACCUAAGAGCUUGCCAGCAAUGGCUCCACAAGCAGGCAAUGCAGUCCGGUAGUGGUCCAAGCUGGACCCUCGAUGGUGAGUUUGAUUUUGAAGACGACAUGGAGAACCCUCAGAGCCCACAGCAGAGGCCACCGCUACUCCAGCAGUGCUGCAACGAGCUCCACCAGGAAGAGCCACUUUGUGUUUGCCCAACCUUGAAAGGAGCAUCCAAAGCCGUUAAACAACAGGUUCGACAACAGCAAGGACAGCAGGGACAGCAGCUGCAGCAAGUAAUUAGUCGUAUCUACCAGACUGCUACGCACUUACCUAAAGUUUGCAACAUCCCUCAAGUUAGCGUUUGUCCCUUCCAGAAGACCAUGCCUGGACCCUCCUACUAGAUUCCAAACGAAACCCUCGAGUGUAUGAAUGUGGUUGUCGGUAUAUGUCAACGCCACACUUCAUCGCGUAAUAUGUAAGGUCUUAUCUAGGAUGUUUGAGGCUAUGUAAUUAGCACUACUCCAUAAUAAAAGAGGAUUUUAGUGUUUUAUUCGGUGUGCAUGCUCUCUAAGUGGUUCAAGAUUUUAGUUUUCAAGCAAAUUCCAAUCAAAAUUGUGCGUUACUUACAUCGGCUGUUUAACGGCGUGCAAAACACCGAUCGAACUGAUCUACGAGGGCAUAUGCCAUCGUUCAAUCUCUGACCAAGUCUCUUACAAUAAAUUAAUGAAUAAUAAUACUAAUUAAGCAAAAAGAGAGAGAAGUGAACGAUCAGCUCUUCAGACCACCUCCAGGACCCCUAAUGGGUACUGAAAAUUAAAUUAGUGUUUAAUUUAGUGAUUUGAAAGGUUUAGAACCUCUAUUAAUCUAUUUAAUUUUUUCAUCUUCUAUUGGUAGAACUUCAUUGAGGUACUUAAAAAAUAAUUUAUUUUUUUUAAAGUUGAAUGAUUUGAAAGACCAUGAUACAUAAAAUUUUCAGGGGAAUUUGUCAAAACUAACCCACAACUUAAUUUUAAUCCCAAACAUAUACUCAAACUUGAAUCAAAUGCAAAGCUAAUAUAAAAGCCUUGUGAAAUUACAGCUCAACCACUUUUUCUAAGUCAUUUUUACGAAUAUAGCCCUAGUAAAUCGUCUGAGUCGUCUGAGAUGUUGGAAGUCGUCUGGACGACUUCAAAUUAAGUCUUCUGGUGUAGUUGAUCUUAAAAAUAACUUUUAAAUUUUUUAAAAAAUAUUUUGAUAAGCGAAAAAUUAAAAUCAUCUAAUUAUAAACAGUUUUAAGUGAUAUAAAUUAAAAUAUAACAAAAUUGAAUUGUUUUCAACAUAGAUGAGUGUAGGUAGUGAAUCAUGGUAUUCUUUGGUCUAGGGUUUGACAACAUAUGUUGUAGUAUUGUAUGUAUACUUAGGGUUAGAUUUUGGAAAGCUUGAAUGUUUUUUUGAAAAAUUAAUUUUUUACCUAUGCAUGUUUAUUUUUGUGUAUAGUAAAUACUUUUGAAGUUUAAUUUGGUUUUAUGAAGUGUUUAGUUAGUUAAUUAAGUUUAGGGGUAAUGUUUAUGAUCUAGACUACUUACAUUUCAGUCGUAUGGUGAAGAAAUUAAAACAGACGACUUACAUGUAAGUCGUCCAAAUAUUUCCGCCUAAAAUUUUUUUAAAAAUUAUUUUCCCGCUUAAAUAAUAUAAACCAGACGACUUACUUGUAAGUCGUCUAGAAAGUGUUCUAUUUUAGUUUCUCACUAAAAAUAUUUUAAUUUCCCGCUAAAAAUAUUAAAACCUUCUGGACGACUUACAAGUAAGUCGUCUGAAUCAAACAUAUUUAACCUAAUUGAAUUUUUUGUCUCCCUAUAUAAAGAAAAAUUUACACAUUUUCUCUCCUCCUCUCAAAUGGCUGCAACAAAAAUGUAAUGUUCAUCACUCUAAAAGUCUUCAACCUCUCUCUAAUCUUUUUGACUUGAAAACACCAAACUUUAUAUGAAUUUUUCAGUUUUGUCUCAUGUCUUUCUUAAUAAUCUAUCUUUUUUGCAGGUUUUUAAUCAGAUGGUACUCAUCUUCCACUCAUUUAAAGGUAGAUCUAUUAGUUUUAGAUAUGUAUUUUUGUGUGUUCUAUAAAUGUAGAUUUAUCUAAUCUUCCACUCAUUUUCUCUAUUUUUAAGUCAUUUGAACGUUUUUGGAUAUGCAGGUUUUUCAGAUCUGGAUUUGAUAUGCAGGUUUUUCAGAUCUGGAAGACUUCUGGGACGACUUACCUGUUAGUCGUCUGGAAGUCGUCUGGAAGUCGUCUGGACUUCUUGGAAGUCUUCUGACAAAGUCGUCUGGACUUCCAGGAAGUCGUCUGGACUUCGACGAAGUCGUCUGGACUUCCAGGAAGUCGUCUGGACUUCCAGGAAGUCGUCUGGACUUCCAGGAAGUCGUCUGGACUUCCAGGAAGUCGUCUGGACUUCCAGGAAGUCGUCUGGACUUCCAGGAAGUCGUCUGGACUUCCAGGAAGUCGUCUGGACUUCCAGGAAGUCGUCUGGACUUCAUGGAAGUCUUCUGACGAAGUCUCCCUUUCAUAAUAGAUCUGAGCGUUUUGGUAAGUUCUUAUGUCUGAUUUUUCUUCAUUUGGUAACUUCUUGUUGUAUAAAGUUCUUACUUUUUUCCCAAACUAAAACUCUCCAAACCCACUCUAAUCUCUUUGACUUGAAAACACCAAACUUUAUAUGAAUUUUCCAGUUUUGUCUCAUGUCUUUCUUACUAAUCUAUCUUUUUUGCAGGUUUUUAAUUAGAUGGUACUCAUCUUCCACUAAUUUAAAGGUAGAUCUAUUAUUUUUAGAUAUGUAUUUUUGUGUGUUCUGUAAAGGUAGAUUUAUCUAAUCUUUCACUCAUUUUUUCUGUUUUUAAGCCAUUUGAACGUUUUUGGAUAUGCAGGUUUUUCAGAUCUGGAUUUGAUAUGCAGGUUUUUCAGAUCUGGAAGACUUCUGGGACGACUUACCUGUUAGUCGUCUAAAAUAUAAUGCACUAGACGACUUCCAGGAAGUCUUCCAGACGACUUCCAUUUCAGUCGUCUAGACUUCCUAAAAGUCGUCUAGACUUCCUGGAAGUCAUCUGGAAGUCGUCUGGACUUUCUGGAAGUCUUCUGACAAAGUCUUCUUCCAUAUCAAGUGGAGUCCAAGCUUGUCUUUGUAGAGGAAUGAUCUAUAAUAGUUUUGUUUGUGGUCUGUUUUGUGAAUUGCAUGUCUACUCUUUUAGUUGUGAAUUUUUUGUAAAAUCAGUAAUAAUGUUUUCCAAGAUGUAUUAAAUGUGCUAACAAUGUGUUUACACAUUUACAAAUCAAUGAAAUAAUAAACUUCAGUAGCCUUUUUUUAUCAAUAAUAAACAAAUCAAUGAAAUAAUAAACUUCAGUAGCCCGUCUUCCGCUGAUCCUCUCACCAUUUCUUGCGCAUAUAACAAUGCUCUGUAUGAAGUGGUGUAAUCAAGUGUCAUGCCAAACAUGUUCUUCAUUGCAUCUUUGAUAUGCUGCGGAUUCAACCCAUCAAUGAUUCCAACACGAUCUAUGAAAAGUCGACCAAUGUACUUCGGAGUACAGCGUUUCCGCUGAGCGAUUCUGUCUGGAAUGGAACAUGUAUGAGUUGCCACAUACUUGGUUACCCGAAACGUUUUAGUCCCAUGUUUCACACUUGCUCGGACCUUCCAUUGACAACCACUAACAUGAUAUGUUGCCACAAAGAGAGUUUUCGUUGACUUGAAUAUUCUGAAGGAGAACCUACGCCUCACCGCUGUCAACCGCAACUCUGAAAGCAGUGCAUCCUUACUAGCAAAACUCUGGUUGACAUAGAUUCUGUCUACAGAUGAUCCUUCUCCUUCACAACCAUAUGCCCAAAACAGAUUUCAUCAUCUUCUUCCUCAUCCUCGUCUUUAACCAUUCCAUACUCACUAUAAUCAUCAGCAUCAGCGACAACAGGGAUGUCAGCAUCCUCUUCCCCAUCAUGAUCCUCAGCUUCAUGCCCCUCCUCAGCUUCAUCCCCCUCCUCAGCUUCAUGCCCCUCUUCAGCUUCAUCCCCCUCCUCAGCUUCAUCCCCCUCCUCAGCCUCAUCUCCCACAUGAUCUUCAUCCCUUUUCUCUGAAACCGUUCUCAUCUUGCUAAAGCUUGAUACACAAAGACGUACUUCAUGCAUUUUAGUUAUCUCGAGCAAGUUCUGAACUUGUAUAUCACUUGUAACAUGAAUAGGAGGAAGGUCUGGAGCCAUCUGUUGUAAUGAGUAGGUUAACUCCACAGACUCUAUGAAACUUCAAUCUAAGUACUCAUGAUGACUAAACUAUACGUCGUCUGGUCAACGCAGAGGUUAUUUUUGCAAUUGACUUUGAAAUCUGUUAUUUCAGACGACUGAAAAAUAAGUCGUCUACUUUUGUUUGGUUUAAAGAAAAAACUCCAAAAAAGCUAGACGACUUACAUUUCAGUCGUCAUGGGUUAGUUUUGCAUUUGACUGGAUUAUUUCAGAAGUUUUACUUUCCUGGACGACUUAGAUUUCAGUCGUCUCGUGAAAAUUAAAAUAAUAAUAUUUUUUUUAAAACUAGACGACUUACAAUUAAGUCGUCAUAUGUUAGUUUUGCAAUUGAAAAAGAAAACUUCAAUAUUUAAUUAUAUAUAGAUGACUUACAAUUCCGUCGUCCGUCAGACGACUUACGUGUAAGUCGUCCAGGAUUUACGAGGUUUGACCAGAAUCUCGGAAUAAAAUCCUGGCUGAAUUGUAAGUCGUCUGGGUAUGAUUAAAUAUUGAAGUUUUUUUUUCAAUUGCAAAACUAACCUAUGACGACUUAAUUGUAAGUCGUCUAGUGUUAAUAAAAUAUUGAUAUUUCAAUUUUCACCAGACGACUGAAAUGUAAGUCGUCCGGGAAAGUCAAACUUCUGAAAUAUUCUAGUCAAAUGCAAAACUAACUUAUGACGUCUGAAAUGUAACUGUGUUUGACUUUAAGUUGUAGGUCAAUUCUGCCAAAAGCCUAAAUUUUUAUUAAAAAUGACAUAAAAGCAUAUUAAAAAUGCAAAUACAAACCGUAAACGAGAAAAACAGAUUAGUUGAAAUCUUGAUUUGUUCCACUUUAGUCGUCUGAGAAAACCGAUUUCAAAGUCAAUUGCAAAAAUAACCUCUGCGUUGACCAGACGACUUCAAACUUGAUUCUGAAUGCUCAUCAUAUUGCCGAGAUUUGAAGGCAUAUCUGUAGAAAACGAGAAAUCCACUUCUGAACUUCGGUUUGAAUCCGAAUUUUUGAAAAUUGAAAUAUCAAACUGAGUGUAUCCAUCUCGUUCGUCUUUUACGAUCAUAUUAUGUAGAAUGAUACAUGCUCUCAUUAUCUUUCCAAUUUUUAUUUUAUCCCACAAAAGAGGUGGAUUUUUUACUAUGGCAAAUCGAGCUUGCAUGACCCCAAAACCUGAAAUUGGUUGUUCAUGAUGGUUGGGGUAUUGAUGACAAUGGCAAUAUUGUAAUUACUUGAAGAUGAUGAGGGUGAGAGAGUAAAAAUGUUAUUUUCGAAAAGAAAAAAAAUUGAUGGCAUUUUCGUAAAUUAUAUGAACUUGUGGGGUGAAUAGGGCAAAACCAAUUUCCAAAAAAAAGGAGGUUAGUUCUGUGUUUGACUUUAAGUUGUAGGUCAAUUCUGCCAAAAGCCUAAAUUUUUAUUAAAAAUGACAUAAAAGCAUAUUAAAAAUGCAAAUACAAACCGUAAACGAGAAAAACAGAUUAGUUGAAAUCUUGAUUUGUUCCAAAUUUUUGCCAUAUAUUCUCAACCAAAUCCGCUUUCAAUCGUUGAUGUAUUGUUCUAUCACAAACUUGAUUCUGAAUGCUCAUCAUAUUGCCGAGAUUUGAAGGCAUAUCUGUAGAAAACGAGAAAUCCACUUCUGAACUUCGGUUUGAAUCCGAAUUUUUGAAAAUUGAAAUAUCAAACUGAGUGUAUCCAUCUCGUUCGUCUUUUACGAUCAUAUUAUGUAGAAUGAUACAUGCUCUCAUUAUCUUUCCAAUUUUUAUUUUAUCCCACAAAAGAGGUGGAUUUUUUACUAUGGCAAAUCGAGCUUGCAUGACCCCAAAACCUCGCUCGACAUCUUUACGUACAGCUUCUUAAAGUGUAGCGAAUAAAGAUGCUUUUGGACCUUGCGGAAGUGGAAUAGAUUGGACAAAAGUAACCCAUUUUGGAUAAAUAUCAUAUGUGAGAUAGUAAGCCAUUUGGUACUCGUGUCCGUUGACAGUGUAGUUAACUUUCGGAGCUCGACCUUGUAAUAUAUCAUCAAAAACUGGUGAUUGAUCAAGAACAUUGAUAUCGUUUAAUGUGCCUAGAGGUCCGAAAAACGCGUGUCAUAUCCAGAGGUCUUGUGAAGCUACAACCUCUAGAACAAUUGUUGGCUUUCCUGAUCCACGUGUAUAUUGUCUUUUCCAUGCGGUUGGACAAUUCUUCCACUCCCAAUGCAUACAAUCAAUGCUUCCUAUCAUCCCGGGAAAUCCGCGUAGCUCUCCAAUAUCGAGUAGUCGUUGAAGAUCUUCUGGAGUGGGUCUUCUUAGAUACUCAUCUCCAAAUAAAUUUAUGAUUCCUUGAACAAAAUGUUCUAAGCAUAAAAGCGCGGUAGUCUCACCAAGUCAGAGGUAUUCGUCGACCGCAUCAGCUGGGCAACCAUAUGCCAUCAUACGAAUUGCUGCCAUUUUCUUUUGUAACGGAGAGAGACCGAACCUUCUAGUAGCAUCUCCUCUUUGUUGAAAGUAUGAUAUUUCAGCGGAGAGUCGAUCAACAAUACGCCUGAACAAGGAUUUGUUCAUUCGAAAACAGCAUUGAAACAUGUGCGAAGGAUAUGUUGCAUCUUCACUAAAAUAAUCGUUCCAUAACUGCAUGUGUCCUUGUUCUCGUUGUCUUUCAAUGUAUGCUCGUUUAUUUUUUGGCGUUGAUGUUUCUUGACGAUCUUCAUAACGAGUGAGAAGAUUUUCAAAUUGUUGAUCGAAAAUUUGGUCCAAUCUCUCCUCCAUCAUAUCUUCGUAAUUAUUAUUAGAAGAAGAAGCCAUUUAGAAGAGAAAUGGUAAAUGAAUUUUUUUUUUUUUUGUAUAAAAGAAAUGUUGGAUGUUGUUUUCUUGUACGAUGGAAAGAGAAGGGAGGUAAACAAAUAAAAGAGCUUCAAACUUGUUCUUCUACACUCAGAAAAAAAAGAAACAAAGGAAAUAUUUUUUUUUAAUAUGGUAUAAGAGAAAUGUUUGAUGUUGUUUUCUUGUACAAUGGAAAGAGAAGAGGGGUAAACAAAUAAAAGAGGUUCAAACUUGUUCUUCUACACUCGGAAAGAAAAGAAGCAAAGGAAAAUUUUUUUUUAAUGGUAGAAGAGAAAUGUUCUUUUACACUCGGAGGAAACACAACUUAGAAAGGAAACACAAGUUGCUUUACAACUUGCAAACCAGCUAUGCAGCACGUUGGUUUUCUUGUACUGUCUUCUUGUCUUUACAAGUCACAUGUUCCUGUCUUCUUGUUCUGUCAAUGCACUGGAUGAUCCACAUGCUACUUUAUGUCACACGCUCUUCUUGUCUUCUUUAUGUCACAUGCUAUUGUCGCUUUACCUGCACAAGCACGAGACAAGUCUCAGUACAACACGAGAGAACAACACACACGUCUCAGUACAAUACACGAGAGCAACAGAAGAACACACACAAUUUCAUUAAUAUGUCACAUGCUAAUACAAACUCGACAUCAAGCAUAAAGCAACGAGAGAGAGCAAAAGAAGAACACACACAAUUUCAUGCUAAUACAGACUCCAUUAACUAACAGACUCGACACAAACAUCAUAAAGACACAAACAACAUACAUACUUGGCAAUUUCAACACAAAAAUCAUAAGACUCAAACUAACAUAUCAUUAAUAAGCUUGUUUUUUAAGGCAAUUUCGAGUUCAGUUAAUGGUUCAGUCUUGGCAAUGAGGCUAUCAAGCAAUUUUUGCUUGUUAAGAGUUUCCUUCAAAGCAAAAUCCGCUUGCCUAAUCUCCCAGAUGCUCUGAAAUUCCCUCCUCUCCUUCUCUUCCUCUUCCAAAGUAGCUUGCUUCCUCACUGGUUUUUUUCCUUUUGCCUUUGCUGCUUAAACCCCAACUGGCCGACCCAUAGCUUCCUCUCCAUGGCCAUCUUGCACAGAGGAUGAUGAUUGUGUCGUCUGGGCAUCCAACUUCCUUCUUUUAGACUAAACUUUAUCCUUAGUAGAAGAAGCUCCACUCCAUUCCUGAUCAUAACGAAGUUCCAACCAUGCAUGCUCCAUUGUGAACUUCUUCUUGUAAUCAUCAAAGUAAAUCUCGUGAGCCAUUUUCAAGACGUCAUUCUCGUUCUGUCCACUCGAUCUCUGUUUCGUUGCAGCUUCAUAGCACCCAACAAACUUACACACGGCUUCAUUGAUUUUCCCCCACCUUGAUUUACAGUUGUUGUCUCUCUGGGCUGCAAACCAUCGAGCUUGGGACUUGCAGUAUAGUAAGCAGCAAUUCGUUUCCAAAACGUACUUGCUUUCUGCUCAUUCUCAACCACUGCAUCCUUGGAAGUGUUCAACCAAGCACUUAUCAGCACACCAUCUUCUGUUGGUGACCAUUUAUGCCUCUCUUUACGGUCAGACACAGUCUCUGCGUCUUCAUUGCCAUCUUCAUUCCAUUAUGAACAGAAAACAGAGGCAUCAGACGCAGAGACAGACUGAUAAGGCUCACGAGGGACAGACUAAUAAGGCUCAUGAGGGACAGACGCAGAGACUGACUCAUUCCAUUGAGUGUUUGGUUGUUGACUGGUCAAGAAGUUUUGAAAGCUAUAUUGUUGAAUAUAAGGAUCCAUACGAGUUUUGGAGAAGAGGUUUUGAAAGCUAAAAAGAAAGAACAAAAUAGAAGGAAAUAGUUUUGGAGAAGUAAAUAAAUUUGGAGUCAUGGUUUAUAGUUGUUAAAGUUUUUUGUUGUUGAAGUUUUAAUGGAAAGUUUUAAUGGCAAGUUUAAAGUUUGAAGUUGGAGAAGUUUUAAGUUGUUAAAGUUUUAAUGACAAGAGAAUCAAUAUCCCUUUAUUAUUAUUUGAGGAGCAUUAUAGAUAAUUAACUUUUAGUUCAUGUGUUAUUUUCAAAAUUGUCAUUUCCUGCGUGGCAGCACCAUAAACCCUCUCACAUCUUAUAUUCAAAAAUCAUUUGUUAACUAGAUUAAUUACAAUAAUUGUCAUUGCUUGCCAUUGAUCAUUUGAUUAUAAUUUUACUAAUAUACUGUAAGCUUCUUCAUUACAAUGACUAACAAAACAUUGACGUCCAUGUUUAAUGCGUUUUCAUUAUAAUUCAAACUUACGGGCGUAUAGUCAUUUAUUCCCAGAUCCGGUCCACAAAGUUAAUUAUAUAUGAGAUAACGAUUUUGUAGAUGGUAUAAUCCGAUACAUAUAUAACUAAAAUAAGUAUAAUUUAUAACACGUGUAUGUGGACCAUCUAUAAUGAUUCGGAUUAUACCAUUAUGUGCAUAUGUAUCGGAUUUAAUGUAACAAAAUAUUACCGUUAAAAUUAUAAUCUCUUCACAAUGUUAGCAGAACUCUAACAUAUGUUAUAAAUUAUACUUAUUAUAGUUAAUAUUUAAAUAGAGUGAGACAAAAAUAUAUGCACACGUUUUUACAAGUAUUCAUCAUAUAGCAUUUUAUAAUAUGUUAGACAUUAUAUAUAUAAAUGUGAUAUAAGUAUAAUGCCUAACUAUAGUCUAAUUCAAAAAAAUGUCUAACUAUAGUGUCUACAAAUUAAUUUCGUUUAAGGACUUAUCGUAACAAGGGGAUGUCUAACUAUUACGAAAUCACGAUGGCCCAUAUAACUCCGUUUAAGGACUUAUCAUAAUUGUAAUUGUAAACCAUGAUUAAUGAUUGCUACGAAAUCACGACGUCUAACUAUUAAUAUUAAAAAGAAACAUGAUUUGCAAUAACUUUGUUCAAAUCUGGGUGAAAGUUAAAAAGACACUUCUAAUAACGUUGCAAUAUAUAUGAUAUAUAUGAAAGUUGAAAGGAAACUUCUAAUAAUUUUAGUUGUUCUAUCUCUUAAUGAAACGUGAUUUGCAAGGACAACCGUAAUUAAUGAUUGUUAAAAGGAAACUUCUAAUAACUUUGAUAUAUUUUUAAAUUACGAAUUUGGUAACGUUUUGGUAAUAAUACUUGAAUCAAAUCCGCCAUUAUUUUUUAUAAAAUUUUGGUAAUAAUAGGGAGUCGAUUAUGGUUACAAAAUUUUGUCAACUAUUAAUAUGUUGUAUAUAAGGAAGUUAUAUUGUGGAUUCAAAUUAUUCGAAUCAAUUAACAAUCGUGAAUUUUAUUUAUUUUGUUCAAUUGUAAUUUAUAAAAGGAAGUUCGAUUAUAGUGUCUACAAAAUUUAGGUAAGUUACGAUUACCAUUGGAGCCCAAGUUAUGUGAAAUUAAAUACAGUAGAACAUCUAUAAAUUAAUAAUGUUGAGAUUUUGAAAUUUAAUUAAUUUAUAGAGAUAUUAAUGUACAAAAGUUUCCUUAUUUAGAUUUUUUAUUUUAAGAUAUAUUUAUUCUAAGAUAAAAAAAAAUAUUUGAUUUUAGUGUAUAAACAUUAAUUAUUAUUUUUUGAAAAUUCACAUUUAUAUUAAUUUUAUUAUAUUAUUUGGUGUAUAUAAUAUAUAUCGCAUAGAAGUUAAAUGUGCUUUUAGAUAUAAUAUUACUAAAUCUCAUCAAAAUUUAUUAAGUGUUAAGAAAAUAUAAAGAUAAUUCUAUUGUGAAUAUAAAACAAACAAUAUAAUAGUAGGUUCUUACUUAUAUAAAAUAUGUAUAUAUAGAAAUUAUUAAUUUAUAAUUUUAAUGGGACCAUAUAUUUACAUAGAAUUUUCUAAAAAAUUAUUAUCUUAUUAUUUUAUCUAUUGUGUCAAAUUUUGAACCGACCCAAGUUGGGAUCGGCAAAAUUUAUUAAUUUAUAGAGAUUAUUAAUUUAUUGAGUAUUAAUUUAUAGAGGUUCUAGAGUAUGUAAUAAUAUAUUUAAUUACAGUGUAUCAUUAAUCACAUGGGCGCUGCCUUCUUAAUAUAAAUAUAUGUUCUCUAAAAUUCAUCGACUCACCACACACUUCUUCUCGACUUCCUAAUUAUCAAAACAUUCUCUGGAGCAAACAAAUGGUUGGCUUUAACUCCGUUUCAGAAAGUGGUAUAUCAGUUCGUUUAGUGAAUUUUUUAAGUAUGUAUGUUUUGUUCGGUAAACUAAUUCUUAGUUAUUUCUCUCUAUAGGAUUGCAAACCAGAAGUUCUGAAGACCCUUUAUCAGUUUUUUAUUUGUUUCCUUGUAAUUUGUUUCUUUCGUAUUUUAUUUUUCUAUUACUUAUGUUUUAAAUAUUAUAAUCAUAAUUUUAUUUAUGAAAUCAAUAAUUAUAUUUCCUAUGUUUUGUUUUGUCUUAAAUUCAUAAUAAAUUAAUAAAAGUUAUUGCAUACUAUUAUAUAUUUUUUACAUAAAAUAUAUCUAAUUUACACAUAACCAACUACAAAAAACAAUCUUUUUCAAAAAAAAAACAAUAUUUUUCAAAAAAAACACUUAAGAUUACAUUAUAUUCACACUUUCGUUCCAUAUAUAUCAUUAGAUCUAAUAUUUUUGUCUAUAACUUUAAAAUUUCUAAUAUCUGUAAAAUUAUUUAAAAAAAUUUCUUUUGAUCAUUCACUCCGCGUAUGGCGUGGGUUAUCACUUAGUGUAUACGCUAAAACAACCACGCAACCUAAAUAUCAAAACUAAAGUUCAUUUAAUUCUCAACCAUUUUCUAAAUCACGUAAUCAAUAUCAUGCUCACCAUUAAAAGCAAAUCUACUUAGACAGAAAAUCUACCUUACCUCUUCUUAACUCUGAAAUUAAAAGACAUAAGCUUUGAUGACCAUGAAUCCAUUGCCUUUCUUCCACAACCAACAAAGAAAGUAAAAUUAAAAGUUAUUCUCUGUAAAGAAAUAAAAUGAGUCAAAUUACACAGUAAGAGUAAUGUGACAAAUAUCAUAUGAUAUCGGCGAUGACUUUGGCGAAAGCGAUUUUUAGGGUUCCAAGAUGAUUUUUUCACGGUGGCGAGUUAUGGAUCGGCGACGGAUCCGAGAGGGUGGAGAGAGGGCUUUAUGCUAUAGGGAAGCUGAGGAGGAGUCUCGGGUUAGUGAGGGAUUUUGUGGGUUUAAUCGAUCUCGGGAGAUCUGGUUAGGUGAUUUGAGGGGUUGCGAUAAUCUCUUACAAGGAUUGGACUUGGUAAUCUUCAUUUUACGAGGAGGAGAGGCUACAAGGGAUGAGGAGGACAGGGAAACUUUUGGUACUAGAUCGGGAUUUGGAUUGAUGGUCAUUUUCCGGAGUGGUUUGCGGUUCCUAGGUUGGAAGAGAGGAGAUAGGGGUGGAUCGGGUAGGAAGGGUCCUGUGCUGCUGAUCACGUAUUCUUGGAUGACAAGGAGUUUUCAAACUUUCACUAUAUUAUUCCCAACUCAAGGCUUAAUAAAGGACACAAGCAGAAGUGAGCAGGUUCUCAUUGCUGCUUUUGGAAGGGUAGUGUUCUACUUUGCUUGGACACGAGAUAGCUUUACAAUCAGGUUUUACUAUUUAUAUGCACUGUUUGCUUGGCAUGAUGCUUAUUGGUAUGAGGAUAUAAGAAAAGUGUUUCAAGCUCGAGGAUGGUAUCUUGCGUCUUUAAGUUCGGUGAUAUUGGUUUCAUUAGACAAGAAUAUGGAGAGGAGCCAGUUCGGCCAAGUGACAAUGGUCACUGUAAUGGGUGUGGGGUCUGCUUUGAAUGACAUGGGGUUAAUGCGAUGGUCUCAGGGUGCUAAUGAGGAGGAUUUUUUCUUAUCUCAUGAUUGGGUUAAAAGGCUUAUGUGUCUUAGUGGUUCCGUACAUUUUGUUUUCAUAUUUUUAAUUUUUUGGGUAAUGUUUACUAAUGCAGUUUUACUUGGAUGUUUUGGACUUUAUGGGAGCCAAAUAUGGUAUGCUUGGGUUUUAAAAGGGUGCUUACUAAUUUGUAGUUUGCUUGGGGGUUGGAAUGCAUGGAAUAAAUUUGUUGACUUUGGUGUUUGGAUUUGUUUCAAAUCGUUGCAACGAAGGGAUCAGAAUUUUUUACUUAUGCAAUUUGAUGUUCAUGGGAGGGAAAUAAAGGAGUUGGUACAUAUGUGUUUUGUUGGUUUUGGGAUGUGGCUCGGGACAGAGCAGAACGCUUUGGCUGCACGGACUCGAGGCCUGCGGCUGGUCUCUUUAAACCAGUUGCAGAGAGUUUCUUUGGAGAGGCUUAAAGUGCUCGUUUUGGGAACAUACAGUUCAGUCAUUGUUAUUGGUUCAGGAGCUUCCACAGACUUAUAUAUGUCGUACGUGAAGCGUGUGAUUUAUCUGUUUGGUUUCUUUAUUAUAGUUUAUAUGUUUGGUUUCUCUAUUAUGGUUUUUAUUGGACCCAAUUUAAAGGGUGAGGUUGAGCUGGACAUAAUGUAUAGACUUGGAAUGGAGCAAGGGUCUAUUUUUUUCAUAUUGAAGCUGUUUACUAUGACGGUUAAUUUGGGAGUUCGGUGGAUUAUUGCUUCUUGGUGGUUGGGAUUUCAGGGUAUCAUCAAACCUAAUUUCGCUAAACUCUUGGGAGUUUUUAUUUAUAACUUUAAAUGAGAGUGCUUAGUUGGAAUUGUAGAGGUAUGGGAAGCAAGUGGACUAUGAGCUAUCUAAGAGAGAUAUGGUAUAAACAUAAACCGGAUUUUUUAUUUUUAUCUGAAACAAAACAAGACUCAAAAUUUGUUCAAGAUUUCCAAGCACAUAUUGGAUUUGAUAAUUUGUUCACGGUUGAUCCAUUGGGAAGGAGUGGUGGUUUAGCGCUUUUUUACAACAAUGAUUCUCAGGUCCAAGUCUUAUAUUCUAGUAAUAGAAUGAUCGAUGUGGAAGCGGUGACCCACGGAAAGACGGUUUAUCUUACGUUUGUGUAUGGUGAUCCUGUUCCAAAAUUAAGAGAACAAGUGUGGGAACGUUUGACGAGAUAUGGACUUGCGCGUUCAGAACCCUGGUUCAUCAUUGGGGAUUUAAAUGAGAUUACUGGAAAUCAUGAAAAGGAUGGAGGAUCACUGAGGAGUGCGGAUUCUUUUAUUCCUUUUAAUAAUAUGAUAAGGAAUACUGGGUUAUUGGAAUUUCCGGCACGGGGAAAUAAAAUGUCAUGGCAAGGGAGAAGGGGAAAAGGAAAAGGGGCAGUUACGGUAAGAUGUCGUCUAGAUCGAGCUUUAGCAAAUGAGGAGUGGCAUACUUUGUUUCCAUGUUCUUUUACAGAAUACUUAGGGAUGGUGGCUUCUGAUCAUCGCCCAGUUGUGGCUUAUCUGAAUGAUAAAGUCACUAGGAGAAAAGGGCAAUUUCGGUUUGAUAAAAGAUGGAUUGCACAAGAAGGUCUUUUGGAAUCAAUUACAAUGGGCUGGUCAGAUUAUAGUGCAACAAGGGAAACUGGGAUAGUGGAAAAAAUUAGUAAUUGUCGACAUGAAAUUGCUAAAUGGCGGAAAAAUAAUCCUCCUUAUGGGAAGGACAAAAUUAAUGAGUUACAAAAAGCUCUUGAAGAGGUACAAACAGAUAAUUCUAGAUCUCAAGAGGAUAUUAUCGAGGUCUCAAAGAAGUUGCAAGAUGCAUAUAAAGAUGAAGAGGAGUAUUGGCACCAAAAGAGUAGGAAUACGUGGUAUACAUCUGGGGAUCUCAAUACAAAAUUCUAUCAUGCUUUGACUAAGCAACGACGGGUACGUAAUCGGAUUGUGGGUUUAUAUGAUGCUUUGGGAAAUUGGAUUACGGAAGAUAUGGGUGUGGAAAAAGUGGCAGUGGACUAUUUCGAAGAGCUUUUCACUACCACUUCUCCAACGGAGUUUGAUGACUUUCUCACAGAGGUAUCACCAGGUAUUACUCCUCAAAUGAACCAACGUCUGUUAAGAGUAGCAUCAGAGGAUGAGGUCAGAGAAGCCCUUUUUAUGAUGCAUCCAGAGAAGGCACCAGGACCGGAUGGUAUGACAGCUCUUUUCUUUCAACACUCCUGGCAUAUUAUUAAGAAGGACUUGGUGGACAUGGUGAAUAAUUUUUUGGUUACUGGAACAUUGGAUCCGAGGUUAAAUAUUACUAAUAUUUGUAUGAUUCCAAAAACGGAGAGGCCUACAAGGAUGACAGAACUGAGGCCGAUUAGUCUGUGUAAUGUUGGGUAUAAAAUUAUUUCGAAGGUUCUGUGUCAGAGAUUGAAGAUAUGUCUACCUUCUCUUAUUUCAGAAACUCAGUCAGCUUUUGUGCCAGGAAGGUUAAUCUCUGAUAAUAUUCUUAUUGCUCAGGAAAUGUUUCAUGGAUUACGGACGAACAAGGCGUGCAAAGGAAAAUAUAUGGCAAUUAAAACGGACAUGAGUAAAGCUUAUGAUAGAGUGGAAUGGGAUUUUAUAAAGGCUCUCCUACAGAAGAUGGGUUUUGAUUUUCAUUGGAUUACAUUAAUGAUGGAGUGUAUAUCAUCGGUUCAAUAUCGGGUCCUACUUAAUGGACAGCCACGGGGACUUAUCGUUCCACAUAGGGGUUUACGACAAGGGGAUCCUUUAUCACCUUAUUUAUUUAUCCUGUGUACUGAGGCUCUAAUUGCAAAUAUUAAAAAGGCGGAAAGAAGGAAACUUUUGACGGGAAUGAAGGUAGCUAGAGCAUGUCCAUCGAUAUCUCAUCUGCUUUUUGCGGAUGAUAGUCUUUUUUUCUGUAAAGCUUUGAAAGAGGAAUGCCAUACUAUCCUUAGGAUCUUAAAGGAAUAUGAGGUUGUAUCAGGUCAGCUUAUAAACUUUGAUAAGUCCUCUAUCCAAUUCGGGCACAAUAUUGAGGAAUCAACUAGACAGGACUUAAGAGAUAUAUUGGGAAUUCAGAAUCUUGGAGGUAUGGGAUCUUAUCUAGGUCUUCCAGAAAAUUUGGGAGGAUCCAAGAUACAGGUUUUUAGCUUUGUGCAGGACCGGCUAAAUAAUAGGGUUAAUGGUUGGACUUUUAAGUUCUUCACAAAGGGAGGAAAAGAAGUGAUUAUUAAAUCUGUGGUAACGGCAUUACCAAACCAUGUGAUGUCUGUUUACCGUUUACCUAAGGCAACAACUAAAAAACUGACGACCGCGGUCGCACAAUUCUGGUGGAGCCCAGGGGGAAGGACAAGAGGUAUGCACUGGAAAUCAUGGGAUAAAGUGUGUCUUGAUAAGGAAGCUGGGGGCUUAGGUUUCAAGGAUAUUACAGAUUUUAAUACAGCAAUGCUUGGUAAACAGUUGUGGCGCUUGAUCGAGAAGCCAAAUACAUUAUUUUCCCGGGUUUUUAAGGGACGGUAUUACAGGAAUGCAUCACCCCUGGAACCGAUUCGCUCUUAUUCUCCGUCAUAUGGUUGGCGGAGUAUAGUUUCUGCUAGAUCUCUGGUAAGCAAAGGACUAAUCAAAAGGGUGGGAUCAGGAUCAUCUAUAUCUGUAUGGAACGAUCCAUGGCUCCCAACCACUCGCCCGAGACCAGCAAAUAAAAAUCAACAUAUUUUCGAUCCAAACCUCACAGUGGAUUCUCUUAUUGACUCUACUUCGCGGACAUGGAAUUCGCAUGCACUCAGGGCUAUGAUAGAUCCCCAGGAUGUAAAAAUUAUAGAAAGUAUACCACUGAGUAAAACCCAGAUGGUGGACAGGGAUGGAUGGCAUUUCACAAACAAUGGGAAGUAUACGGUUAAAUCAGGAUAUCAGAUCGAACGGGUUUAUCCAGACAGGGAAAGACCACCUUUAAAGUUUGGACCCACGGUUGAUGCUUUGAAGGCUUUCUGCUGGAAAAUACGGUGCCCCCCAAAGUUAAAACAUUUCUUAUGGCAAUUGGUUACAGGUUGUAUAGCAGUCAAGAAGAAUCUGAAAGCGAGAGGAAUACAAGGUGACACCUGCUGUGCACGUUGCGGAGCGGAGGAGGAAUCGAUCAAUCAUGUGUUUUUUGAAUGUCCUCCUGCACUUCAGGUUUGGGCUCUCUCCAAGAUACCAUCAAAUCCAACUAUGUUCCCAACGAGUUCCCUUUUUACAAAUAUGGAUCAUCUCUUCUGGAGAGUCUCUCCCCCGAUGGAGGACCAUCAAUUUGCAUGGAUACUUUGGUAUAUUUGGAAAGGAAGGAACAAUAAAGUGUUCAGUAAUAUGGACAUGGAUCCAAGAGACACGCUCAAAUUAGCAGAAACAGAGUCAACACUUUGGGCUAAUGCACAUGUAUUGACCGAGACCAGGAUAGGGUCCCAUGUUGAGGUUACGACUCUCCCAUCAAUUCCGGGGAGAUGGUGUUUUACAGAUGGUUCUUGGAAGGAGAAUGAAGUUUUCUCUGGGCAAGGUUGGCUAAGUACUUUAGAAGGCUUUGAUGGGUUGUUAGGAGCAAGGAAUGUCCGAGCUUGUCUAUCCCCUCUACAUGCGGAGAUAGAAGCACUACUUUGGGCAAUGGAAUGUAUGAAAAAUUUACGCCAGUUUCAGGUUACAUUUGCAACGGAUUGUUCUAAGUUGGUGAAGAUGGUUUCGGAACCAGAAGAAUGGCCCGCAUUUGCAAGUUAUUUGGAAGAUAUUAAGUCCCUGAAAGAGGUUUUCACACGUUCGGAGAUUAUCUAUGUACCAAGGAUGCAAAAUUCAAGAGCGGAUAGCCUAGCACGCAGUGCCAGGAAACAACCGUUGUUUGUCGUUCACAUGGAUCAAAAUCUACCGGAGUGGUUUACAGAGUCAGUAUGAGUCUGUAUUUGAUGACAAAAAAAAAAACGUAAAAUUUUAUAUUUUCAUAGAGUUUUUUUUAAAAAAAAAAAAAAAAAAAAAAAAAAGAAAUAAAAUGAUCAAAUAUAUAUAAAAAAUUAUCGAUAAUAUAUACAAAUUAUAUACAAAUAAGCUUAUCAUGCGCAUGGUGCAAGUUUUAUCCUAGUUACAUAUCGAAUGAGACGCAUUUAAUUUUGACCAUGACUAUAUAUAUCAACUUUAACUCAAUAUUUCUGAUUAAGCUCCCAAUAUAUAUUUUCAACUACCUCCAGAGUAUAUAGACUCUCAUCCCACUUAAUGAAUGUUUUUAUUUUAUUUUAUGAAGUUAAGUUUUUACCUUCUUUUUUAAAAAAAUAUCGUUCAUAAGAUGUCACGCCAGGACAUGAACUACACAUGCGUCACACAUAGCAUGCAGAUGCGGACGAUUGUUUUUGUUCGUCAUUUGUCAAUCACUUCAAACACCUAAGAGCUUCUCUUUCACAGAACACACACACACACACACAAUCAUAUGCAUGCAUUAUUACACGUGAUCGCCAUGCAAAUCUCAUUUCUCACCUAUAAAUUAACUCCUCAGCUUCACUCUUUACUCACACCAAAACUCAUCAUUACAAACAAGGUUAAACACAUACACAAAUGGCGAACAAGCUCUUCCUCGUCUCGGCAACUCUCGCCUUCUUCUUCCUUCUCACCAAUGCCUCCGUCUACAGGACGGUUGUGGAAGUCGACGAAGAUGAUGCCACAAACCCAGGCGGCCCAUUUAGGAUUCCAAAGUGUAGGAAGGAGUUUCAGCAAGCACAACACCUAAGAGCUUGCCAACAAUGGCUCCACAAGCAGGCAAUGCAGUCCGGUAGUGGUCCUAGCUUGGCCCUCGCCGGUGAGUUUGAUUUUGAAGACGACAUGGAGAACCCCCAGGGCUCACAGCAGAGGCCGCCACUACUCCAGCAGUGCUGCAACGAGCUCCACCAGGAAGAGCCACUUUGCGUUUGUCCAACCUUGAAAGGAGCAUCCAAAGCAGUUAAAUCCCGGGUUCAACAACAGGGACAAAUGCAGGGACAACAGCAGCAGCAAAUAGUGGGCCGUAUCUACCAGACCGCUAAGCACUUACCUAGAGUUUGCAACAUCCCGCAAGUUAGCGUUUGUCCCUUCCAGAAGACCACCCCUGGGCCCUACUACUAGAUUCCAACGAAACCCUCGAGAGUGUAUAUACCACGGUGAUGAGUGUGGUCGUUGAUGUAUGUUAACACUAAAAAGUCAUCGUGUGUGUUUUAUAAAUAAUGUACGUUAAAAUGUUCGAGGCUAAUGUAAUAAGAACUACUCCGUUGACGGUAAUAAAAGAGAAGUUUUUUUUAUACUGUUGCUCCAUCCUAAAAAGUGAUAAUUAACGACAGAUACGCCCAAAAAAACAAAUUAAUAUACUCACAAUGAAUCAGUAGUCUAAUGAACAUGUUAGACUAAAUGUCUAAUUAAGCCGUUUUUGCCAAAAAAAAAAGGGUUCAAAUCGUCCAUUGGGAUCAAACAAUGACUCAAUCAGGUUUGAUCAGAUACUCGAAAUCCUUUUUGAUCGCAUUCUCAUGAAUCCACUGUAAUAUAACGAUUUCCUAUGUUGUAAAGCCUCUUUAGUAGAAAAAUAACGAUAAGCAGCAAUAUAAAUGUAUUUCAGUUUAAGAUUAGCACUACAAGAAAUUUGGGUUUUAAUAGCAGACUAGUAUAGCAUUUUUUUCGAUUGUGCUAUUGUUGACAUACCUCUUACUUUUAGAUAGCGUUUGUGAAAAUGCAAAUACUAUCUUUGGUUGGUCCGAUUUUAGGAGGAACCCCUAUCCCGGAGCCAAUCCCCUAUUGGUCCUGCGUAAAUGUUUUUUCUAAACCUAGUAUACAUAGCAUUUUCAGUUUUGAAACGCAAUGCAUAAUUAAAAUAAUUGAUUUUUCCUUUCACCCUUGUUUCGCUUUCCUACUCACUAUAUUUUAUUUGCCUCCAAAAACCUUAACACUAAAUUUAAACCCUAAAGUUUUAACACAAUCCCUAAACUCUAAAUAAACUUUAAAUUCUAAAAUUUUAACAUUAAAUCUUAAAUUUAACUUCAUAUCUUAAAUAUAAACUAAAAAAUUACUAUUUUCAAAAGUUAAUCUCAAAUCUUAAAUCAAUACUCCAAACCCUUAACCCUCAAACCCUAUACUCAAAACUUUAUUCUAAACUCCAAACUUUAAAUCUAAAUUCAUAUCAAACUUUUCUAAAAUUUAAUACACUACAAUUUUUAACUACAUGCUAGUCUUAACUUAUAUAUAUAUAUAUAUGUGUAUUUUGCAAAUCUUGAAUUUUGGAGUUUAGGGUAUGUUUAGAGUUAAGAUCUAAAUUUAAAUCUGAAAAAAUUCAAGUUUUUAGAACUAUGUACAUAUCUACUUUAAAUGAAUUAAACAUAGAAUUUUAAUCAAACUUAUAAUAAACAUUAAAAUUAAAGAAAGAUUAGAAACAAAAAAAAUCUGUCGAUGUACAACAAGAUAUAGAACCAAAAUACUACCAAAAUAAACUUUACUGUCCAAAGUGAAAAUAAAGUAAAACAACUAAAAGAAAAAAUUCCUAUUGGUUAGUUCAUAAGCACAAGGAUUGAGCUUUUCACCGUCAGAUGACGGGAUCCUCAUCCAAUGGACCAAAAUUAUUUUUUUAUUCAGUUCUGGAAUUUUUUGAGCAAACAGAUCUCAUAUCUUUCGACACAUUCUCUUAGACAACUUCAUCUCCUCAUCUCUUUCUCCUUAGGCUUUAUUCACUACUAGCCCCCUCAUUCUCUUUGCCAAUCUCUGCUCCAUUUCUCUCUACCCUCGCGAGAUCUCUGCUCCAUGACUCAUCUUCUCUCCCUUUGUCGAUUUAUCUUUUCUUCAUCUUCUUCUCUCUUAUCAAGAAUACUAGAUCUAGAAGCAGAGGCUAAGCAUCGAUGUUUCUCACGAUACUGACAAAUCUCAUUCCGCCGCGAGACGCGGCUGAGGUGGUCGACGACUCCGACACUCGCGGUACUCUCUCUCUCUCUCUCUCUCUCUCUCUAUGUUGAAUAUGACUUUUUUGUUUGUUAAGGUGGUCGCGAGCAGAGAUGGUGGUGCGGCGGGUGAGGACUGGAAGAUGAAGAAGACAACGAAGUGCAUGGAUUGAUGCGACAACGAAGCGCAUGGAAGAACACAACGACGAAGGUGGUGGUGCGAUGGGUGAGGAUUGGAAGAUGAAGACUACAACGAAGGUGGUUGUGCGGCGGAGUUUAGUUAGUAAUUAGGUUAAAGCUUAGUUUAGCUUUUGGUUUAUUAUUUAAUUAGAUUUAUUUUUAUAUUUUUGUAAUCCAAUUUAAUUAUAAAUCAAUUUAAGUAAUAAAGAAAUUUUAAAUCUAUGAAUUAAUUUUAAUUAUGUUUUUAUUUUUAAAUAAUUUACUAAAAAUAAAUAUAAAAUAAAUAAUUUUAAUAUAAAUAAUAACAAAAAACAAACACUAUUAAAAAAUGUUUAAUUGCAUACAAAAAAAUGCUAUAAUAUAUGACAAUAAGAUAGCAUCACGAAAAACCGCUAUCUAAUGUGCUUGACCUACUAUGACGGACGAUGAUACAGCGCUUCAUAAACCGCUAUCGUAUCAUUAGAUAGCGUUUUUCGCCCGCUAAGAAAAACUUUUUUUCUUGUAGUGAUAUAGUUGUUUUCAUCACAGCAUAGCAUGAUAAAAAAUGAUCACUUAACAAAUAUAAUGAUUUUGUUUAUCUAAUGCUUGUCUAUUCAAGAUUUAGAACAUUAAUGUGAUGUUUUGUCCACACAUUGAUAACGCAGACACACUUAAGGUUAACUAGAGAUUGAUCCGCACAUCUGCGCGGAUAUUGAUUCUUACAUUUUUAUACAUUGAUAUUUAUUUUUCAUAAUUAAUGUUAUAUAUUUUACAUGGGUCUUAAUAUAACUAAUUGUAUUCAAAUGAUCUAGACCGAAUAGGGUAAUAUUGUUAUUUUUGGUACAAAUAUCCUAAUCGAUUUCAGAUACAUUUGUAAUUUAGAUAUUUUUAGGUUUAUAUACAUCAUUACCAAACUCAUCCAUACCGAGAAGAACCCAACUCAAAAUCCACACAUAAAUUUAUAAUCAAGUGGGACCUAAUUUCAAAAAAAAGCGAUACCCGAAAAGAACAGCCCGUACUUAAUUGGAUAGCCAAUGUUCAUGCGUUACUGAUUUUAUAAACUAAUAAAAAUGACUCUAACUGAUUUUAUAAACUAAUAAAAAUGAUUAUUUCUAUGUGUUUGGUUAAAUUAAGUGAAAUAGAAAGAGUUUUUUAUUUAGUAAAAUAAUUAUAUGGAUUGAAAAAUUAAGUGAUAAAAAAUGUAAUACAUUUUUAUUACAUUGAUUUAAGUUAUUAUUUUAUUCAUAAAAACAUGUCUUUGAAUUAUUUUUUGGCUUCGUAAUUUUCCACCGAUUGAAACUAAAAUAAAUAAAUAAAUUUUAAUAAAACAAACUAAACCGAAAGUUUAAACAUAUGAAAAACUCAGUUAUUUUACAUUUUUGAUUUUAUAAUUGGCACAAAAUUAAUAUUAAUUAACUAAUAAAUAAAAAUCUGCUAUAUUAUUAUUAUGGUAAUAUAAUUAAUGAUGUGAUGUAUUGAUAAGAUAAUAUAAUUAAUGAAAUUGUUAAACUGAGUGAAAUAUGGAAAGACAAUUAAUGUAAUUAUAUUAAUGAAACUAAUAAAAAGACAUUAUACUUCUUUUUUAUACUAUUAUCCAUGUUUUCAAAAAAUUCUUAUUUAUAAUGAUAUUCAUGUUUUCAAACAAUAUCAAAUAGAUACUUCAAUUUUAAUAAUAACUAGAUCUUGAUCCGUGCGUCCGUACGGGUGUUUGCUUUAAUUUGUAAGAACAUUAUAAAAUUCAUAACUAUUUUAAAAAUUAUGGUAUCGUUAUAUAUUAAAGUUUGACUAUUAUUGUAUUUGUAAUAUGAAUAAAGGAAUACUAAUACAUUCAUAUAUUAAUAUUUUUGUUUCAUUGUUUAUUUGAUAUUAUAACCCAAAUAUUAUAGUUAUUUAUAGUAUUGUAUAUUUAAUUCUAUUUCGGUGGUCCAUAAAAAAAUUAGAAAGAAUGUUUACUCAAUCUAUUAGAUCCUUCGUAUUGUAUUUUUUUAUAUAUAUAUUGAAAACAAUUUUAUAAUGGUUGUUGAAAAAUAAAUUUGUAAAAAUUAAAUUUUGAAUACAUGUAUAUUUUUGAAUCAAUUUUUGUUUUGAAUUUUGUUUAAUGAUUAAUUUAGAAAAAUAUGUUUUUAGUUAAUUAGAUUCGAUCAGUUGCACAAAAAAAAGUAAUUAGAUUGAGUCAUUUUUGAAAUCUGGUCGAAACAGAUAAUUUAUAAAAAUAUAAUGGACAUCAAUUUUUUUAAUAACAUAAACCCAUUAUUUUUUUUAAUAUACUGUUAUUCAUAUUUUCACACAACAUUAUAUUUCUUUUUAAUUAUGUUAUUCUUGUUUCCAAGCAUUUCCAAAGGUACUUCUACUUUAAUAAGAUAAAAGAUAUAAUAUUGCAAAAAUAUGUUGUUAUUUAUUUUUUCAUGUCACUAUUAAAUAUAAUAUAUGUCUCAUCAUAUAAUUAAUCGUGUUUUUUACCUACCAUCAUAUAAGUAAUCAUAUAAUUAAUAGUAUUUUAUAUGUAUCAUCAUAUAAAUAAUUAUAAAUAUUAUAUUUUUAAAACUUAAUAUGAAAUAUAAAAAUCAUAAUUUACGUUGGUGAUUGAAAUUGCUUUGUAUUGAAUUUUUCUUAAAUAAUUUAAAACAUUUUUAUAAUGGUUAUAAAAAACAUUUUAGUAAAAUAAAUUUUUGAGUAUAUGUAUAUUUUUGAAUCAAUUUUUGAGAUAAAUUAAUUUUAAAUUAAUAUUUUGAUUUGAAAUAUGUCUAUAAAAUUUAAAUUUUGUUUUAUGAUUAUUUUAGACAAAAAUAUUUUUAAGUAAUUAGAUUGGGCUAGCCAUUUUCGUAUAUUUUAAAGCUGACUCAUAUAUAUUGUUUUCAUAAUAUAAUGAAUUCCCAAUUUUUCUUGAUAACGUAAGCCCUUUACUUUUUUUCUUUAAUAUAUUGUUAUUCAUGUUUCCAAACAACACUAUAUAUUUUUUUAACUUCUAUCUUCUUUUUUUGUCAUCAACGUAUAUACAUACUCAUACAGACUCUGUGAACCAAGCCGGGAGAUGUUGAUCCAUGUGAACGACGAAAGACGGUUGCUUUCUGACACUACGUGCUAGGCUAUCCGCCUUUGUAUUUUGCGUUCUUGGUACAUGGACAAUCUCUGAUCGGAGAAAACUUUCUUUCAGGAAUUUAAUAUCUUCUAAAUAACUUGCAAAAUCUGGUCAUUUUUCUGAUUCCAAAACCAUCUUCACCAAUUGAGAACAAUCCAUUGCAAACGUAACCUGAAAUUGACGUAAAUUCCUCAUACAUUCCAUUGCCUAGAGUAGUGCUUCCAUCUCCGCAUAGAGAGGAGAUAGACUAGCCCGAACAUUCCUCGCCCUCAUCUGCCCAUCAAAACCUUCUAAAGUACUGAACCAACCAUGUCCGGAGAAAACGUCUUUCUCUUUUCAGGAACCAUCUGUGAAACACCAUCUACCUGGAAUUAACGGUAAUGACUAACCUCUACCUGUGAUACUAUCCUCUGUUUCUUUGCUAUAUGCGCUUCAGUCCAAAGUGUGGACUAUGUUUCUGCUAAUUUUAAAUUCUAUCUAUGUUACCAAACAAAAACUUAAAGUACUUCUACUUUAAUAAGAUAGAUAUAAUAUAGAUAUAAGUUAUAUAAAGAUUAAGCACCAACAUUAAGUCAAGUAGUGACCACGUUUAGGUUUCAAGACAACUUCUUCUCUUGUUUCUGGCCUUGGAGGAGAAAAUCACAUCCAAGACUCAAGCGAUAAUUCAACCGCACCGCAGUACCUGCAAAAUAUGUAGAGUUAUUCUUGGGUUCACCCUCAAGAGGUUCACCAACUAAUAGGAUUUCAUUAUUUUAAAUUCGAUAUUUUUUAGAAAAGAAAACAAAAUAUUAUCAGGUUAUAUUAUAUUUUUAAAAUAAAAAAUAGUAGUUACAGAAAAAAAAUUUAAAAAAAUAUUUUUGACGUCGUCAGCAAAACAUUAAACCCUAAAUUCUAAUCCCUAAACUCUAAAUCCGAAACUCUAAACCCUUGGAUAAAUUAUAAACUCUAAAUCAAAAACAAUAAACACUAAAACCCUAAACCAUAAAUCCUAAACCCUAAACCUUUGAGCGUUUUAGUGUUUAAUAUUUUUGAUUUAGAGUUUAGGAUUUAUCCAAGGGUUUAAGAUUUACCCAAGGGUUUAGGUUUUAGGAUUUGGGGUUUAAGGAUUAGGAUUUAGUUUUUUCUUGACGAUGUUAAAAGUAUUUUUUUUGUAAUUACUACUAUUUUUAAUUUAUUUUUUAUUUUAAAUAUAUAAUAUAACCUGAUAAUACUUUGUUUCUUUUAAUAAAAGAUAUCGAAUUUGAAAUAACACAAUCCUAUUGGUUGGUGAACCUAGAGGUUCGCCCUAGGGGGCGAACCCAAGAAUAAGUCAAAUAUGUAUAUAGACUUUCGUCCCAUUUUAAACCAACUUAAUAAGGGUUUUCUAUUUUAUGAAGUAAUUUUUUACUAGAGGUGGGUAUUUGGAUAUCCGUUCGGGUUUGAUUUUGUAUUUAUUCGAGUUUUAAAUUUUUGGAGUUAGAAAGUUAAACUUCACUCGGGUAUUUAUACAUUUUGGUUUGAAUUUAUAUAAGAUUUUUGCGGGUUUGGUUCCGGUUCAGUAUCCAUUUAAAUUACUUUAAUAAAAUAAAAAAUAUAUACUUAAAAAUUCUAAAAGUCCAAAAAUAAAAUAACAUAUAGCAUAUAAGUUUGAAUAGUUUAUGUCUUAAUAUCUAAAUUAAAAUAAAAUUGUUUUGUUAUUGACAUUUGGAAGGAAAAAUUGUUACGUAUUUUGAGUACUUUUGGUAUUUUGAAUAUAUUUUAGCCAUUUUGGAUUUUGGCUGCUUGUAUAUAUUUCUAGGUAUUUUAGACACUUUCAAAAAUGUAUAGUUUUAGAUAUUAGAUUUAAAAAAUUAAUGUAUUUAGAUAAAUAAUAUAUAUUUGGAUAUUUUUGGAUACCUAAAAUAUUUCAGUUCAGAUAAGUUUGGUUUCGAGUUCUUCAAAUACCAAAAUUUUGACUUCAUCUGGAUAUUUAAUCAGAUUCGGUUCAGGUAUAGUAUUACUUUUCAGAUAAAUUUCGAUUCAGUUCUUCGGGUCUGGGCAUUUUGCCCAGCACUAGUUUUUACCUUCCUUUUUAAAAUAAUCGUUCAUAAGAUAUCAUGCGAGGACAUGAGCUACACAUAACAUGCAGAUGCGGAUGACUGUUUUUGUUCGUCACUUGUCACUCACUUCACAGCGAUACACACACAUGCAUGCAUUAUUACACGUGAUCGCCAUGCAAAUCUCCAUUCUCACCUAUAAAUUACGUCCUCAGCUUCACACUUUACUCAAAUCAAAAUCAUCAUAAUUACAAACAAGGUUAAAAACAUACACAAAUGGCGAACAAGCUCUUCCUCGUCUCGGCAACUCUCGCCUUCUUCUUCCUUCUCACCAAUGCCUCCGUCUACAGGACGGUUGUGGAAGUCGACGAAGAUGAUGCCACAAACCCAGCCGGUCCAUUUAGGAUUCCAAAAUGUAGGAAGGAGUUUCAGCAAGCACAACACCUAAGAGCUUGCCAGCAAUGGCUCCACAAGCAGGCAAUGCAGUCUGGUAGUGGUCCAAGCUGGACCCUCGACGGUGAAUUUGAUUUUGAAGACGACAUGGAGAACCCCCAGGGCCCACAACAGAGGCCCCCGCUACUCCAGCAGUGCUGCAACGAGCUCCAUCAGGAAGAGCCACUUUGCGUUUGCCCAACCUUGAAAGGAGCAUCCAAAGCCGUUAAACAACAGGUUCGACAACAGGGACAACAGCAGGGACAGCAGGGACAGCAGCUGCAGCAAGUAAUUAGCCGUAUCUACCAGACCGCUACGCACUUACCUAGAGUUUGCAACAUCCCGCAAGUUAGCAUUUGUCCCUUCCAGAAGACCACGCCUGGGCCCUACUACUAGAUUCCAAACGAAAUCCUCGGGAAUGUAUAUACCGCGGUGAUGAAUGUGGUUGUUGAUGUAUGUUAACACUUCAUAGUCAUGGUGUGUGUUCCAUAAAUAAUGUACGUUAAAAUGUUCGAGG